rnacentral:rRNA from 1 species
UACGGAGGGUGCAAGCGUUAUCCGGAUUCACUGGGUUUAAAGGGUGCGUAGGUGGGUUGGUAAGUCAGUGGUGAAAUCCCCCGAGCUUAACUUGGGAACUGCCAUUGAUACUAUCAGUCUUGAAUACCGUGGAGGUCAGCGGAAUAUGUCAUGUAGCGGUGAAAUGCUUAGAUAUGACAUAGAACACCAAUUGCGAAGGCAGCUGGCUACACGAAUAUUGACACUGAGGCACGAAAGCGUGGGGAUCAAACAGG